rnacentral:rRNA from 1 species
CACGUAGGGGGCAAGCGUUGUCCGGAUUCAUUGGGCGUAAAGAGCGUGUAGGCGGCCAGGUAGGUCGGUUGUGAAAACUGGAGGCUCAACCUUCAGAGGUCGACCGAAACCAUCUGGCUAGAGUCCGGGAGAGGAGAGUGGAAUUCCUGGUGUAGCGGUGAAAUGCGCAGAUAUCAGGAGGAACACCGGUGGCGAAGGCGGUUCUCUGGGCCUGUACUGACGCUGAGGAACGAAAGCGUGGGGAGCGAACAGG